rnacentral:snRNA from 1 species
AAAAAGGGCUUCUGUCUUGAGUGGCAAAUGUAAGGCACCUCGCUUGCUCUUCACACGGAAUCGAUAUUAAGAGAUUUCAGAAAUAAUUUUUGCUGCUUGGGCAGCUA